CCGCCUCUCCGUUCGCGGUUCAGGCCUGUCGCGCAACUUCCAUCUGCGCGGCAUCCAGCUCUACAUGGACGGCAUUCCGAUCAACACGUCCGACGGCUAUGGCGACUUCCAGGAGAUCGACCCGACCGCCUACAAAUAUGUCGAGGUCUACAAGGGCGCGAAUGCCUUGCAGUUCGGCGCGAACUCGCUCGGCGGCGCGAUCAACUUCGUGACGCCGACAGGCC
rnacentral:misc_RNA from 1 species